rnacentral:rRNA from 1 species
UACAGAGGUGGCGAGCGUUGUUCGGAUUUACUGGGCGUAAAGGGUGCGUAGGCGGCCCCGUGUGUCGGAUGUGAAAGCCCAUGGCUCAACCAUGGAAUGGCAUCCGAAACUGCGGGGCUAGAGUGCAGGAGAGGAGAGUGGAAUUCUUGGUGUAGCGGUGAAAUGCGCAGAUAUCAAGAGGAACACCGGUGGCGAAGGCGGCUCUCUGGAAUGACACUGACGCUGAGGCACGAAAGCCAGGGUAGCAAAAAGG